rfam:Eubacterium sp. CAG:76 genomic scaffold, scf14
AAGUGAUUUCACAUUUUGCCUAAGACAGCAGGUCCCGAAAGGGUUAAAGGUAAUACGCCUACCGAGGACAGACUUAAUGCGUAAAGCAUUGAUUAUCAGUUUAUUCAGUCCUUCUGUCUUAUAGAUAGAAGGACUUUUUUGUUAGAGCA